AACUUUGGUGAUGAGGGGCAGCGAAGGGGUGGGAUGGGAUCUUGGUCCAGCUGGUACUGGAGCGGCGACAAUUUUGGCUAGUCUAAGAAGGGCAUUCGAGUGACCGUUGACAACGGGUGGGACAGCGUCAGAGCUGGAGGGAGAGCCAGCACUGUAUGCUUCCAGGACUUCUUGCUAGGUGCAUUAGUUUUUAUUUUUAAGAGUUGGGUAAAAGACAUUAAUUAGUUAGCAUCUCACUCAUCGGCGAUUUUCUACGGUAUGAUUUCAUCCAAAGAGGAUUUCUUAAUCGCACUGUGUGACACCGUUAGGGGACUUAGAGUGUCACUCGCCGCCUUAAAUCCUUUCGGGAACAAGCCAGGAUAUAAAUAAAUAAAGCUAGGUGUGGGUCUUCCCUUCACAAGGCGCUGGUAGGCAGACUAAAGACAGGCAACAGCUGAGUGUGCACACAGAACUAAAUAUUGAACGAAAUACGAGUGCCGGAAUAAAAUUCAUUGCCAUGUGCACGGCUUAUGAUUAUACAGAUCUUGGACAUAUCACGGACCUGAACGUCAACCCUACAACACCGGAUAAAACAUCUAAUGUAGCUGGAAUAGACUCUGAAAGGACGUUAGGCAUUAUCUAAAUCAAGUCCCUCAUUUUACAGAUGAGUAAACUGACUCAGUGAAGUAUUUUGCUCAAGGUCGUUCAUCAAAUUAGUAGUUUAACUAACUCAGUGUUUUAGGAAGCAGGGUAGUAGAAAAGCAUGGGAUUCGGAGUCUGAAAUCUUCCUUGGUUUCUGGUCCUUGUAGGCUGUUUUACAAGUGUAUCUUGGGCAAAUCUCUUAACGUGUUGCCAUUUAUUAAGGGCUUACCACGUGGCAAACAAUCCACUUUGCAUGCUGUGUCAAUUACAUGCAGUAUGUCGUGUAGUUAUUACUGUCCCCAUUUUAUGAGGUAGUUUAGGUUUAAAGAUAUUAGAAAUUUACCCGAAGUUACGCAGUUAUAAACAUUGUAGUAAUUUCAAACUCAGGUCUUCGUAACUGCAAAGGCUGCUGUCUUAGGUAUUGCAAUACAUUAGAGCUCCGGAUUCCCUCCCACUCAAAACAGAGACUGAGACUCCAACCAAUUUCCACCAUUCUUGGGAGUCAAACGAGAGAGACUGUGGCAAUGUAUUCUAAGCUGUACAAAGGUAUAAACAUAUUCACUAGAUUUGUAGAAUGAAGAUAUUCCUUCCCUAUACUUUCCACUACAAAAUUCAACCAAAAAGAUGGCUUUCAUACUAAGCUAGCAUAAGAAGGAACUUCACUGUAAUUAUGAUAUUCUAACCAAGAAUAUAUGCAUAUCUAGGCAAUAACCAAAGUGAAUAGAAUAAAAUUUAAUUCCUGAUAGAUUAAAUAGGCAAUAGCAAGGAAUGCUAACGCUCCUCAUAGCGUUCUUGUUGGAAGAAUCAUCUAGGAGGCAUUGGGAUUUCUGGUGCUUUUUAAGCAAUGAGAGAUAUCAGUCCACUGAAUGAGGAAGAGAAUAACGUUUAGUUUGGGACUAAAAGUUCAUCUGGACUACGGAAAACACGUUUGCCUCAAUCAGUGAAGAAGGUAUGCUGAGAGCUGAAAGAAAAGGAAAGCAGAUAGUCAAAACUUUUGAUUCUACUUGCUGCUUCCUGGAACUCAGCCUGCAUGCUGUGAGAAGCCCAAGGCAGACCGAGGAAUCACAAAGAUGAGAACAGAGGCAUUCUAGCAACAGAGAGCUCAGAAAUUCCCAGACUGUUUUGAUGAUAAGGUCCAAGAACUUGCCAUGUGAUCUAUCACUACUAGACUCCCACAACUGCAUUAGAUUUGUUCAGGAUUUUCAUAUAAUUUUCAUAACUGGCUAAGUUCUGAAAUAACCCAUCUUGAAGACAUAAACAAUGUGCAUUGAUGGCUAGCCAGACUCUGUCCUGCCACGGUUCUCCUCCUACUCUUCAUUUCUUACCCCAAGGAGUAGUAAACAUGAAUCCUGACCCACCAAUGCAGUCCCAGAACUGAGAAAAGAUUCACUGCAGCUAAACACAUUGGAAAUGGAUGGGGAGAAGGCCUGAUGAAAAUUACUGAGGAAGCCUCUUAGCCUAUGUGCUCUGAGAGUAGUGACACCCAGUAGUCCUUAAGACCACUUAAAUUAUCCUAAGACAAUGGAUGUGAACAGGCACUUUUCAAAAGAAGACAUACAUGCAGCCAACAAUCAAAUGAAAAAAGCUCUACAUUACCGAUCAUUAGAGAAAUGCAAAUCAAAACCACACAAAAGAUGAUCAAGAGGAGCAUGAAAAAAUCCCCUGAAUCUAUUGGCUUUCUUCCCUAUACUGACAACAGUUUACUUGUGUAAGAAGAUGGAUGUCUAUUGCUUUUCUCUUGAUAUUCAUGGCACUGCUCCUCUCCAUCCAUAGGAUUAUCUUAUAGAUGAGGGUCUCAUCCUUUUGCCCAGGCUGGAGUACAGUGGUGUGUAUGUAGCUCACUGCAGCCUUCAACUCCUGAUCCUCCAACCUCAGCCUCCACAGUUGCUGGGAUUACAAGUGAUAGCACUGCAGAGUCCAUCUGAAUACACAGACAAUAUGUAUGAGAGUUAAUUAAGGAAAGUAUUGAUGAAAGCAUAAUUUGUUUCUGAAGCUUAUCAACUGAAAUGGAUAUUAAUCCAAGGUCCUGCACAAUAGCAGACUUGACACAUCUAUUUCCUGGGGAAACAAAUUAUAUUUAUUUUUGAAAUAUUAUUCAUAAGACUUUACUUGAACUUGAUAAAUGUAACUGUCUUGAUGAUAUCAUCCACGAACUUUUUUGUUAUGUGAGAGACUAUACUGAUAUCUAGGCAAUGAUAUAGACUUACAGUGUGUUAUCGUAGCAUGAUAGAGGCUGGGGUUACCAGUAAGCAACUCAGUUUUGCAAGGUAACCUAUUGUGCAUCUGUCUGCACAGAGAAGUCAAUCUUUUUGUAGAUUUUAAGUAUUCUUAAAUUUAUGUUUUCCAUUUGUUCAUCAAAGCAAAUAUUGUUCAAACUUUCAUUUUUCUGUACCAUUACAUUUUCUUAAUAACAUCUGGAAGACAUUUCUUAAUGUUAAAUUAAAAUGUUAGCAAGAAGCUUACACAUGUAUGACCUAAACUGUAAGCUGAGGAACUGAGUCCCAUUGCAGUAAGUAAUAUUUUGUGCGCUGAAGGGAGGAUUUAUUACUAAACUUGAACAUUCACAAUGAGCAAUGUCACUCUCUUUGGCUGACAUAUCCAGCUUUUUUUCUGGAUUUUCACUUAGCUAUAAGUUCAAUAAGAAUUUUUCAUACAUCUUCUGUCAAGAAAAAUAGAGUAAUCUCAUCAGAACUUGGCAUAGCAAGAAUUUGAAGUGUUGUUAUUUUUUGACUAUUAUAAUAAAUGAAUGACAG